rnacentral:tRNA from 1 species
AAAAUCCGUCGACUUUAGAAAUGGGAGGGUCAAGUCCCCUUCCCC